CGAAUAUAUGUGGUUUAAAUUGCGUAUGUACAUACAUACAUAUGUACAAAUUUGAUUUUGGGUCAAUAAUGUGUGGUUGUUGCAAAAGCUAAUACUGAUUUCUUUUGAAAACUGAUAAACAUUUUUCGUAGAACAUAAUACAUUUAUACUUACAUAUGUUUGUUGUUUAAUAAAUGGUUCUAAUUAAACAUAUAUGUACAUACAUAUGUAUGUUAUGAUUAGCUGUUCGACUCUGACUCACAUUAAACAAAAAUAAAAACAAAUUGUAGAAAUUCCCAGAAACUGAUUAUAUUACUCGCGAACAUAUUCAUAUGUAUAAGUGCGAGUAUAUAAUUGCGGGGUUUUGCCACACAAAUUACGGAACAUAUUGAUAUCAUUCACUAUAUCAGUGAUCUUUGUAAAAUCAGAUCAAAAUACUUCCCUUAACGACCUGUGUAUUUAAAUUUAAAAAAACCGGCGAUAUCGGUUCCUCGUUACCAGAUAGUGAAAUUAUGAGUACAUUCUCACUGGUCGAGUACAAGGAUAUAAUUAAUGAAAUUAGAAGUUUUAAUACAUACUACAUAUGUUUCGAAAACUUGUAUAUUUUUAAUGUAGUUAACACUGCUAUACCCGCCCAAUUUUCGUAACACUCAUUAUGCGGACGGUCCACAGACCAUAUAAUUGAAACCCAGGCAUUUAUUUUUUUAGUAUGAAACCUAUAAAAUUAUUUUUCUUAAAAUUAAAUUUCAUUCGCUUUUUUCGUCAAACCUGAGAUGAACAUCAACAUAAAAAAAAUCUGUUCCAACUCAUAGUCAAUCGAAAUAUCUCCGGAGACUUUAUUCGACUAUUUUCUUCAAACGCCAGAAAGCAAAUAUCGCAAAGUGUCUUAUUUUUUUAUUAUCUGCCUCAGAACAGUCGCUAUCUCUUGAGAAUUAGAUCUUUUAAAUUCCAAUUGUAUUGCAAAACUGUUAAACUUUUGCAUUAAGCGCUAGUAGCCAACAUGUUUAUUGUUGUUCGGGCAAUGAGCAGCUUCUUGGGGAGAGAAGAACGUAUGCAAAAUUUCAGAUCGAUAUCUCACACACUGAGACAAAUAGAAGGAUAAAAGGAUAAAUCGUCAUGCUGAUCUUUAUGUAUAUUUAUAGGUCUCGCGUUCUUCUGGUGUUCAAACUUGUGGCAAAUGCCUUCAGUUAUGGACAAUCAUCGGAUUUGGGGAACAUUUAUUUAAUUUAUAUUAAUUUUGCGAUAGUUACCACUUAUGUACCAGUGAGGAUCUCUAUUAAUGGAAUCGACUUUAUAAGAACUAUCGCUCACCCUGGUAAAAACCUCAACUUACUACGUUUUUUAAAAUAAAAUUUUUCCAUUUCAUAACGGAUAUUAAAAAUUCUAAUACUCGAUGUGAAGGCAAAGCGAAAAAAGUACAAGUGUUUUAGUUUUAUUUAGUGAGGUUAGGUGCAUUGUUAGCAUGCAAUUGCAGUCUUGUGGAAAAUCUGCAAGAUGAGUUCUUUAAAGAUUUUGCUUUAUUGUUUUUUUUUUUACAACGAUGCCACAGUUUGCAAAUUUCACUUGCUGUGGAGAAGCAGAAGCCGCACCAAAAAUAGUAGACUAUCGAUUAGCAGAUAAACAAGCACAGAACCGUUAGUUUUUUCCAUCAAAAAUAUUUAAAUAACUAAGUAAAUACAUUACUCAACGCAGUAGAAGAUCUUUUCAAAGGUCAGAAUUGUAUUCUGAUUGGACCAGCCGGCAGUGAGUCAAAAAUGCCGCGUCACUACAUCACUACAUUUAUCUCAGUUUUUCGUUGUGGUUUUUAGAAAGGUUUUGCGUCAAAAGACGCCAUUAGUCAUACGAAGGUUGCUAUUUGAUAUUUUUGGCUGUGGAAGAGUACACAAUAGUGCUCCAAAAGGAUCUGCAUGAGUAUAAAUUGUAUAGAUGCUUAUCACGCGAAAAUUGAAGAUCUCUUAACCUCACUGCAAUUCACAAUAUUUUCCUUUUCGAUAAUUCUCAUCGAUCCCAAUUUUACCAGCUAAUUUUGGUCGAUCCUUGCGGACAUAUGGCCGUUAUAAAAGACAACUUCAUCAUAUCGAUUUUUUCCAAAGGAAACGUCUACAGGUGUUUGGCAAUACUAAGGGUGCCCAAGGUCAGAUACUUAAUCAGCAGCCUACGUUCGUCCAUAUCAAUUAGGUUCGGUUAAAUGGUUGGUUAUAAAGAGAGGUCGCUAAGUACAUAUUUGACCACAAACGUUAGGCAAAACUGCACUAUACUUCUGAUAUGCACUAUAUAUAUGCAUACACAUAUGUACGUUUAAUACAUAUGUAUAUGCGUCAUAAUAUUAGUAACGCCGAUUUCUUCAGAAAAUAAAUUAUUUGCGGUAUAUAUAAAUGGGCAAUGCUUUUUGAUGACAGAACUUACUUCAACCAAGACAUCCCACAUUAACGCAACAGAAUUAGAAAAUUAUAAAAUUUCAAACAGCAACAUGAAUUUUCGCUUAAUAUUUGUUCUUAAUCUGUUGCAAAUUUGUAUGAGCCAAAAUCCUUAUAGUUGGUUUAACAAUUAUGACUACCCAAGAGCAAGUGAGGAGUCAAUGCAAUAUGUGCCUGAAUCAGUAAAUACUUGGAAUGAAGCCAGAAACGAAGGUAAUGAAAUUUACCAUAAAGCUUUUCUCCAUGGGAUACCUGUAAGGCGAUAUAACAUGAGAGAAUGUUAAUAAAUGUAAAUGUGAAAACUCAUGUAAAAACUACAAAAAGUACUCAAAGAGAUUUGAUUUAACAUUUACGCCUUCUCUAUUCAUUAACAUUCUCGGAACAACUCUCUACAAUCUGAAUGCUAAGGCUGCAAAAAACAUGUUAAAACUUUAAUAAAUACUAAUAAACAAAAUA